UGAGUAACGCCGUAUCCAACCGUUCCCUAUAGUAGGGGAUAGCCCGUAGAAAUGCGGAUUAAUACCCUAUGUUGUAUUUCGAUGACAUCUGACGAAUACCAAAGGUUCACCGCUAUAGGAUGGGGAUGCGUCUGAUUAGGUAGUCGGCGGGUAACGGCCCACCGAGCCAACGAUCGAUAGGGGUUCUGAGAGGAAGGUCCCCCACAUUGGAACUGAGACACGGUCCAAACUCCUACGGGAGGCAGCAGUGAGGAAUAUUGGUCAAUGGGCGAGAGCCUGAACCAGCCAAGUAAGCGUGCAGGAUGACGGCCCUAUGGGUUGUAAACUGCUUUUAUGCGGGGAUAAAGUGGGGGACGUGUCCCCCUUUGUAGGUACCGCAUGAAUAAGGACCGGCUAAUUCCGUGCCAGCCGCGGC
rnacentral:rRNA from 1 species